UNUGAAGUUAAAGGCAUUGGCUCAACCAAUGUAUGCUUUGGAAACUGUUAGACUUGAGUGCAGAAGGGGAGAGUGGAAUUCCAUGUGUAGCGGUGAAAUGCGUAGAUAUAUGGAGGAACACCGGUGGCGAAAGCGGCUCUCUGGUCUGUCACUGACGCUGAGGCUCGAAAGCGUGGGUAGCGAACAGGAUUAGAUACCCUGGCAGUCCACGCCGUAAACGCUGAGUGCUAGGUGUUAGGUCCUUUCCGGGACUUAGUGCCGACGCUAACGCAUUAAGCACUCCGCCUGGGGAGUACGACCGCAAGGUUGAAACUCAAAGGAAUUGACGGGGGCCCGCACAAGCGGUGGAGCAUGUGGUUUAAUUCGAAGCAACGCGAAGAACCUUACCAGGUCUUGACAUCCCGAUGCCCGCUCUAGAGAUAGAGUUUUUCUUCGGAACAUCGGAGACAGGUGGUGCAUGGUUGUCGUCAGCUCGUGUCGUGAGAUGUUGGGUUAAGUCCCGCAACGAGCGCAACCCUUAUUGUUAGUUGCCAUCAUUAAGUUGGGCACUCUAGCGAGACUGCCGGUAAUAAACCGGAGGAAGGUGGGGAUGACGUCAAAUCAUCAUGCCCCUUAUGACCUGGGCUACACACGUGCUACAAUGGUUGGUACAACGAGUCGCAAGCCGGUGACGGCAAGCUAAUCUCUGAAAGCCAAUCUCAGUUCGGAUUGUAGGCUGCAACUCGCCUACAUGAAGUCGGAAUCGCUAGUAAUCGCGGAUCAGCACGCCGCGGUGAAUACGUUCCCGGGCCUUGUACACACCGCCCGUCACACCACGAGAGUUUGUAACACCCAAAGUC
rnacentral:rRNA from 1 species